AAUAUAUUCCAACUGAGAGAUGAAAAAAACUUUUUUAUUUAAACUACUUAUCCUACGUGACUAACAUUUUGCCAUUAUAUGUCAGAAAAGGUAGGAAUAGCUUAACAUAUUUUGGUAAAUUUAUUCGAAUUCUUCAUCAGAAAAAUGACGGAUGAAGGAUAUGGAGGUAACGAACAGUAUUUAAUAUCAAAGUCCAUAAAACAAUACAAAAUAGGAGCAGAGCAAACACAGACCUCCGAUACAUCAGAGGUGGAAUCAGGUGCCAUGAAGGAGUGAGCAUCCCCUGCUGUUUGUUGUAUGUUUGCUAAUAGUUUAAAAGAAUUUCAAGUAAUGCCUAUAUUUACUUUUGCCUAAAAUAUGUUAUACGUAUACACCCAAUAGUUAAUAAAAUAUUUUUAUAAAAAGAACGCUAGGGUUUAAUUGUCUAUAUUUACGCGGCAGGAAUUAUACCGACAUAAUUUUGACAGCUUCUAUCUUCGCCUUCUUCUGAUAGAAUAAGUGAUUAUUUAAUUAAUUCAUUUGUAGUCGACAGAACCUUUGCGACACAUUCCCAGAGAUGAAAUGCGGCAUGUGAAAUCUAGCACAAUAAAUAAGCACACUGGCGGAAUUCAUGGUAUGUUUGAGUUGUACACGGAAAAUCGAACUUUUUAUAUCGAGUGUGAAAGUCCUGCCGAGGUUCAGGCAUGGAUCAAAGCAAUUAAAUCUCUUCUGCCCCGCAAG